UCGAGAAUAGUCUACAAUGGACGAAAGUCUGAUAGUGCGACGCCGCGUGAACGAAGAAGCCCUUCGGGGUGUAAAGUUCUUUUAUAUGUGAGCAAUGCUUUUUAUGUGAACAGCAUGAGAAGAGAGAUAUUAGCAUAUGAAUAAGCAACGGCUAACUCCGUGCCAGCAGCCGCGGUAACACGGGGGUUGCUAGCGUUGUCCGGAAUUACUAGGCGUAAAGGGCAGGUAGGCGGAUAGAUAAGUUUGAUGUUUAAGGCAGCGGCUCACCCGCUGUAAGGCAUUAGAUACUGUUUAUCUGGAAUGCGGUUGGGGAAGACAGAAUUCCUGGUGUAGCGGUGGAAUGCGCAGAGAUCAGGAGGAAUACCGAAGGCGAAGGCAGUCUUCUAAGCCGUAAUUGACGCUAAGACGCGAAAGCUAGGGUAGCAAACG
rnacentral:rRNA from 1 species